AUUGUUAAGAUGGCAUUGUCAGUAUCAUUGGUGAUUUUCCUCUUCUUGUUGAGUGUCAGUGAAGUUAUUAGUCAAUGUCCACCUUCCUCAGGUAUCUACCUGAUGCAUGGUGGAAACUGUUAUUCUAAUGGAUCCUAUUUUUGGGAUGUUAGCAUCAGACCAACUCCUCUAGAGUGUGUAUUACCUGGUGCUACUCUGAAUGGUGGACAAUGGAUUGGUCCUAAUGGAGUAGUUCCUUGUGAUGGUGGUAGCAAUGCAAAUGUUCAAUGUACCACUGGGUCAGGCGCUAGUCUCAGUGUUUUCAUAAAUCCAACUAAUGGCUAUCUUGAAGCACAUGGUGAUGGCUGGUACAAGUGUUGUCUACCCACUAAUUGUUCUGAUCCUAACACUAACAUCAUCUUUGCUAAUAUAUUCAGUAAAAUUAUGCUGAACAACUCUCUUGAAGCAAGUUAUUUUUUUAUUUGUAUAUAGGUUUUGCGUGGAUAGAAGCAUUUUUUACUGCUAAUCUUCCUUCAGAUAUGACAGUGUAUCCUCAGGAAUACAAACUGAAUUGUAUUAAAGUUGGACACUGGCACUAUGGUAUUAGCAUGAGCAUUGGUAACACUGCACUGGCUAGUUACACUGGAUGUUAUGAUCGUAGUAACCCUUGUCCUGGUACUGUGUUAGUUAGUAGUACAUACACAGUAAGAUAUAGUGUUGAUAUCAUAUGGGAUGGAAUGACUGUCAGUAGUGGAUCAAUCAGUCAAUCAACCACUGGAGAUCAAAUGUAUCAGUGUGUACUGGAUAACAUUAAUGAUGGUGUUGAUAGAACACGUGAUUUAACCAUAAAAGUACCAGCAGCUGCUCCCUCUUCUCUUACUGAG